rnacentral:lncRNA from 1 species
AGGAACACAAGUACUCAAACCACUUGUAGGGUACCACAACCUAGGUGCACUAAAUGCACUAUGACAUCACUAAGGUUCUUUGCGGUGCGGUUGUCACCACAAGAACCAAAGAAAUGCUACGAUCGAUAUAGGUACAAGCAUACAAGAGUUUAAGCACGAAGAACCAAAAAGGCGGGAAAAGACACGGGAUUCACCUUCCUUUGAUCCGCUCGCCAUAGCAACGGCGGGAAUCGUAGAAAUGGAAUCAAAACACCAAACAAACAAAAAGGGCUCAAUCCACGUCUUACUAGAUCGACGAGGAUUAAGAUUAAGAAAGAAGAAGAAGAAGAAUGGAGUCCAUACUCUUUCGACCAACUCAUCAUGGAACAACGACGGUUGGAUAAAAGGAAUACGACCCUACGAUCCCAACCCACUCGUAGGGCACCAUGACUGUGCAUCUAAAUCAGCACAAGGCUAUUCCUAAGGCCCAUAGCGAUGUGGUUGUCACCGCUAGGUCCGAGGGAAUGCUAUAGUCGAAGUGGUACAAGCAUACGAGGUGGUUAGGAUAAACACGGGAGAAAUGGGGGCCCAAUGGCCAUGGCAAGGUGGUCUCGCGGCCAUGAGCUUCGCCUAACGAGUUUCUCCGAUAGUUCUACGAAGGUUGUCCCCUAAUUUGUAUCCCACUAGACUAGGUCAUUUAGGUCUCGAGUGUGCGGGUAAGAACCGCGUCGUUAACGACAUCGAGUCCACGAUGACCACGUCCGAGGGACGGGAAUAGGAGCUAACGACCGUAGCGCAACGAAGUCAAUUAAACACGGGAAGGUGAGUUACGCUCGGCAUCGCGAUCACGGCGGGGCGUACCCACGAUCGAAAUGAUCAAACGUACUACGAUUUCCCUGACCGGCUCGAAGGCUCGGUCCUAGGCAAAUAACAAAAGAAAGAACAAUGACAAAACGAGAGUAGGGACAUGCUUGGCACUACGACCAUUGCGAGACGAACUCGCGAUCGCGACACUCAAACAUAUCACCCUCUCAACCGGCUCGAAGGCACGGUCCACAGACAACGACAAUCACACAAGAAUCACGACUCGACCACUGACAACAUAAAGACACGAUGACAACUCGAAGUAGCACAUUUCCAUAGCACAAGAGAUAAAUAGAGUAUACCGGCGCGAAGGCUCGGCACAGGCAUGGAUAUAGAUCAUAUAACAAGUUUAUACAAAGAUACAAGAAAGGACAAGAGUUUUGCCAACGUCGGAGACGAUGUCGGCUAGGUUCAAGGUUCGACCUUGCUGAUGGACGAAGAUGUGCUGCGGACUUGCUGCUGCUCUUGGCUGGCUUUUGCUUGCUGCGGCUUGGCUGGAGGCAGCAGGCAGCGAGAAGGCAUCACAUUCUCGGCCAAUACACAAUGGGACCAAGGUUUUCCCUGCAACAGAGAAGUUCACGGCUCGAAGGCCGGACUCAGGUAGGAGCACAUCAACAAAGUGAAAAGGGAUGGCUUGGGGUUUCGGUUACUCACUGGCGACAGCAAGGAGCCCCGUGUGAGGUGGUACCGCUGCUGCACGUUCCGGCUCGGGGUCGCGAUCACCAUGACCAGCGCUGACGCGGUGACCAUGGCGACGUGCUGGCGUCGGGGUCACAGGUGCGUCGGGGCGUGGGCGAGGCCGACACGGCGCGGGGACGACGGCGUCGCAGGGUCGGGGUCGGCAAGGGGCUCGGCGGAGCUCCUGCUCGGUGCGCGACGAAGGUGGACGGCUCCGGUGCGGCGUCGUGGAUGAAGCUCGACGGAGACUCGCCGCGGCGUCGCUCCUGGGCGUGGCGACCGGGGCGAGGGCGCAGGGUGGUGCUUGGCGUUCGCGCGGCCGGCCGCGGUCGUCGGGGUUCGGCCGGGGCUCGGUCGUCGAUGGCUUGGCGAGCGUCGUGGUCGUGCUCCAGUACUUCUCGGCGGGGAGAUGGCGGAGCGCCAGCCAGGGCGGUGCAGCUCAAGGCCAUGGUGAGGGCGAGGCUUGACGAGGAGGUCCACGGGGUGCCGAGGGAGGAGACGGCCGCCGUCGAGGUGGCUUCGCGACGCUCUGGGCUCGACAAGGAUGGUUGCGGCGUCGUGGCCGCGGCGUGCGGACGACGGCGUCACGGGGUCGGGGCUCGGCGCGGCGCGUCGAGGCUCGGAGCAGAGGCAUGGCCGCGGCGGACGGCUCCGGUGCGGCGAGGGCGCGGAGGCGGUGCACGGGCUCCGGGACGGCGAGCCGAGGUGGAGCAGAGGAGGGUGGCGGCGCCAUGGGGAAGAAGAUGAGAGCGUCGGCGGCCAUGGCUUUUAUACGCGUCGUGGCCUAGGGUUCUAGGGUGCUAAGCGCUGUGGACGGCGAUCCUCGGCUUCCGCACCGUGGCUGGGCACGUGGCGAGCAUCGGCACGGACGUCGAGGAGGAGAGGGCAGGUGCGCGGGUGCUUGUCCAAGCGGCGGCGGCGGCUGUCCUGGGAGCAGGCGCUCCUAGGGUUGGGGCGCAGGGGGGGUGCCGCCUGCUGGGCCUAACAGGCCGCGACAUGGGCUAGGGCAGGGGGAGCGGAUGGGCCAGAGAGGGAGCUGGGCCACGCGCGCGGGUUGGGCUGGGGUACGGCGCGCGUGGGAGCUGGGCCGAGCGGGGCGGAUGGGCCAGGAGGCCAGGCCGGGCUGCAGGAAGGGGGGAGAAAGGAGAGAAGGAGGGAGACUCGGCCCAAGAGGAUAGAAGGGAGUUUUCUAUUUUUGAUUAAACACAAAGGAAUGAAAACAAAAGGAGAUCGGAUAAAAUCCGAUGGAGUUUGAGACGUACUCCAACGAAAAGAUUGAGAAAGGAUUCGCUUCGCCUUUGAGAUAGGCUCAACGGAGAUUCAGAAAGACUUUGCUACGGAUUUGCACUCCAAAAGAAACUCAAAACCCUAAACAAGACUAAACUCCAAACCGACUCACGAACAAAGGCACUCGUCUACAAACAAUUCUAUAUGAAUGCGACGACUUGUUAGCGGGUUAGAAUCGAGUUAGACCUAAAAACUAUAUGAUUCACACGGUUACAGGAAAAAUUUUAAAAAGUUCGUAUUUUUGGUUUUCGUAAAAAUCCGGGAUGUUACACAGGGUACAGGCGGUUCGUAACCCCUUUUUACAGGCGGUUUGGCGAAUCGCCUGUGUUUGGUGGCCUGUGGAAAUAAAUUUUUCCACAGGCGGGUAACUGAGAACCGCGUGUGGAAAUGUAUUUCUACAGGUGGGUUCAGUGUAUAAAUCUUUUUUCAGAAAAUAUGAAAUCAGUUUUUAAAAAUAGAAAAAAAAGAUUUUAACACAGGGAAGGCUCACUGGCUAUUCGCCCGCCCGUCGCAAGUCGCAAGUCGCGCAUUUUUUCACGUAAAAUCGCGUGCUACGCGGUCGGCGGGAUUCGAACCUGAGACCUCGUCCUCGCGCGUACCCCUCUACAACUUCACCUAUCACUUAGUUGUGUUGGGAUUAGAGUUUAGUUCCCUACAUACUAUCAUAAACCAAGUAUAAAUUGAUUAUUGGAGGCCCUAAACGGAUUCAAAUGGAAAAGUCGUCAACUACAAAGUUUUACAACUUUUUAAGAUCUACAACUUUUAUAUUGGUAGUUCCUUCAUCCGAGGUCAUUUACAAAAUUUGAAUUUCAAAUUUGAGAAAUUCAAACGUAGUUUUCAAUGACAAGAUGAUUUCAAAUGAAAAAAUUAUCAACUACAAAGUUUCAUAACUUUUCAAGAUCUACAACUUCCAUUUUGACAGUUUUUUCAAACGAGGUCAUUUUGAAAAUCUCAAAAAAUUCAAGUUAAAAUGUAUUUCUACAAGCGGAUUUCUUAAGAAACCGCCUGUAGAAAUAUGAUUUCUACAGGCGGUUUAUUAAGAAAUCCGCCUGUAGAAAUACAUGAUUUCUACAGGAGGAUUUCUGAAGAAACCGCCUGUAGAAAUUGAUUUUCACAGGCGGUUUUGUAGUCGGGUAAGCCAAUUUCUUUCCACAGGUGUUCUUUAAUUAAAACCGCUUGUAAAAAUUAUAUUCCACCGCUGGCUUUGAGCAAUUGUGUACUAGUGCAAAUUCUAUAGUUGCAUCUUUUGGUGGAAGGAGGUAGUAUGUAAUAGCUGAGGGUCUUGAUUUCAAAACGACAAGAGAGAAUGGCAAAAAGGAAAAUAACACAAUGUAUAUAUACUACAUGCAGCAUAUUGCAUGAGAAAAACGACGAACUUGAGUCUUGGAUACUGCAUAGGAUCUUGUGGUGCGAUGAACCUUAGUUCGCAGCUCUCCCUUGCUACCAUACUUGAGGCCAAACAAGGUGAUGUAAACCACGGAACCAUCAAUACAGACAUGUUCGCCGCAUGGGACGUGCUCGACGAGGCAGUAUCUACUAUCACCAAUGUAUGUAAGAGUGGUGGUGCCCUUGAUCCCCCACCAACCAUCAGUGCGGUCGUGGCGCUUUGCAUCGUCGUCGUAGCGGCACAGCUUCUCCAUGAGCAUCGUGCACUCUGGCGCUUGUCGCGCGCCGGAGCUGCGGGAGGGGACUUGGCACAAGCAAACGCAGCCAUGUUCCACGGCGUGGAGCCCGACCCAUGCGUCGAACUCGGCGUCGUAGUGGGCCUGGCCAGUGAAGGGCAGCACCCAGUCCCCAAGCACCCUGCACUCACCAUUGCCGGUGUCGAAGGAAUACGUACGCUUGGACCGGUGGACAUGAAGAUGGUACGACCGUCUGGGUGCAGCGCGUUGCACACGAUGGUCUCCACCCUCUGCACCAAUGGCGGAGCUGCCAUGCUGCGCCACCACCAUGCUUCGCUCGGAUCCCAGAGAUCUUCUAUGCCGGUGGGCUCCAAGAUCUGCCAGUAGGGUCGCGCUGCCCUUGUUGAACACCGACGACAUGGCGUACAGCUUCCCACCGGCGGCCACGGCGUCGUCCAGGUUGCAGACGUGGUCGUCGGGGAGCCGCGGGCCGACAGUGAGAGCGCACGUCUCCGUGCUGUAGAUGAGCGUCGGCGGCGCCCUGGGAUUCGCCCCGGCCCAGUAUGGGUUGAUGGCGAUGAGAAGGUAGGUUGCCGCCGAACGCGGCGAACGACAUCGACCCCCAGUCUGGCCCCGUGACCCGGACGGCCGGAGGCUCCGAGAGGUGCUCCGGCAUGUCGUCGGGGUCCAGUUUGUGGACGCUGUAGCCUCCGCUCCAGUCGUCCAGCGCCAGGUACAGGUGCUUCUUCCUGUCGCAGCGGCUGCAUCGCUCGUCGUUCCGGCGACGCCGCUUCGGUGACCUGCUGGAUGCCAAUGACAUUGCUACACUACCGGCGGCGGAUCCGGACGGCGGGCUACCAGCGGGAGAGGAUUUCUUGGCGCGAUUCCGAGGGAUCCUAUUAUAGGGAUUUAGAUCGACGCGGACAUAUAAAUUAUGUGAUGCUCUCUCGAUCGAUUUGGACGCGAUUGGAUUGGUUGGAUUUAAAGAGGGAGCGAGGCAGCUGUUGAAUCCAACUAGGAAUCCAUGAGACGACCGCCGGGAGGAGCAAAGUAUCUGAAUAUCUGAUAUUCUAUGGGGCCAGUACUCUGGCUCCGGUUAGAUAUAUAGCCCUCGUUAUCUCUCAGCAGGCACAAUUAAAGAUAAAAAAUCCGAGGCACUAAAUAUAUUAACCAUAAAAUAAUAUAUAAUUCUUAUGUACAACAAGAAAAAGAAAAAUAACCAUCUUCCAACUUGAUGAGUUUAUCUGUCAAAUCGUUGCCCAGCGAGAGUAGUGAGGUCAGAGCUUCAUCUAUAGUGAAAAGAGUUCUAGCCGUGGUUUUUUUUUUUUUUUUGCUGGAGCAGAUUCUCUUGUUGAGCUAGCUAAAACUGUUUUAGUAAAAAUAUUUGGUUAAUUUCUCCUGUCUUAAGACAAAUGGCUAAGAGAGGAUAACUAAGAUGCCUCUAGGUGUCUGACUUGCUGUAACAACUGAAUUCUACGUUUACAUAUACUUUUAUAUUUGAGUGCUUUGAAAAAUUGCAAGAACAUUUUGCUCGCUUAAUUUGCCACUUCGACCAAUGUGCCUAAUAAGGUUCGAUCCUCCGUCAGUAAGACGUGAGUACCAUCCGUAAUCUUUAAAAUGUGGGGCAUCGUCCGCCGAUCAUUACUAAUCCUAGGGUGCUUUGUAGAGAAAAUAGGAUCUAGAGGGUGUUGGAGAAAAUAAGAUCGUUGGGCCUGAUGUAGUCCUCACAGAUGGCCACCAAACAAAUCAUGAAUUUUGUCUCUUCAGAAUGCUUCAAUAUACCAUCCAAAGCACAGUAAUGGAUAUACAAAUGUCACAAACUAGAAUAAAGAUAGCGAGUGAUUCCAUAGCAUUCAUGUCAAUAGAUAAUUCGAUAUCAUAUAGAUCCACUACUGUCUCCAACAAUGGUCACCCAAAAUACAAGACCCAUUUGUCCUUUGGGUAGCGCUACAGGUAAAAGAUUCCAUACCUAUUUUUAGUCUUCUCCAACAACAAGACCUAAAAGACAACACUCUCUGCAAAUGGGUCUCGAAGAGAGAGAAUACCCAAAUUUGGGUUAUGCCUCUCCUGAUACCCAAAAUGGGUCUUCUGUAUGGGUACUCUGUUGGAGGCUAUAGGUAUUGUGUUGGAAACCUAUUUUGGGUUUGGGUUCCCAAAUGGCUCUUCUAUUGGAGAUAGAUAACAAGCUAUAUAUGGAUCUUAUGAAAUGAUGCGCUUUGAUUCUAAACAUUUUAUGGCUUCCACCUGGAUUGUUGGGGUUCUCGAUCAUCCAUCCAAAUCCAGGUGAGCCACCUCGUCCUCACUGUUGCAGGAUUAGGCAUUAGCACCAGUCGGGAACGGCUUAUUGCCCCGGUUCCCGAGCCGGUACUGCCAUUCCGGGACUAAAGGCCUACCCUUUAGUCCCGUUUCGGGGAACCGGGGCUAAAGCCCCCCCUUUAACACCGGUUGGUAAUACGGGUCCUGCCAGGGCUGCCACGUUGCACGACUCUUUAACACCGGUUGGUAUUACCAACCGUUGUUAAAGGGUUUUUUUUUUGUUCACUUCUUCGGUUCUGUUUAUUGUUUUUAUAUAAUAAUAAUAGGUUUUUCAAUACAUGUUUUUGCUGAUACAAUAAUAUAUUUAUAUUACACGCAUAUUAAGCAUAUAUAAAUGAAAAUUAUAGGCUUAGCUUAAUAAUUAAGCUUUGCCUAUAAUAAAAUGAAUAGGCCACUUCAAAAAUUAAAUAGAUAUGUAAAAAGCUUUAUAUAUAUAUAGUUUUAUAUGUACAAAAUUCGUAACACAUAUAUACAUAGAGUUUUUUCUCCCAAUGUCUACAAACGAUACAAAUGAUCAUCAUUGUUUGGAAUAAGAGUUUCGUUGCCGUUGAAGUGAAACUCGUCGUUUGGAUUGAUCACUUGCUCGCGGAGAAAUCCUGCUAUCGUCUCUUGGAUAGCUUUGAUUCGGUCUUUUUGAAUGACUUUUUCUCUCAACCAUUCCGUCUUUAAUUUGAAAUAAAUAAAAAAAGUAUUAGUUAUCUAAGUUAUUCAAUAUAAUUUAGGAGAUAAUGAAAAGAGACAUGUAACAUACUCUGAGCGUCUCUGUGGGUGUUUGAUUGACUUGUGCCAUCAUGAAUUUGCACACGUAAUAUGCACAUAGAUUGUUUCCCCAUCUUGUCUUAAACACCACUGUACGAUAUAUAUAUAUAUAUAUAUAUAUAAAAUAUUCACGACCACGACAAUAAGAAGGCUAAAAGUUAGCGAAAGUUUGCUAGCUAGUAGAACUUACUUGUGGAUGUAUUAUGUUAAGCGGCGCUUUACAUCUAUUGAGAUGUUCACGGUCAAUGAAUCUUUCCCAAACCCUACACACAGCCAUUGUGGAUCGUGAACUAAUAAUUCUUCUAGCUGAGAUCGACAUUACGUACCUUUGAAUAAUGUUUACCAUUUGUUGAUAAUUUUCUUGUGGUUUUCUCAUUGAGUCAAAGAUUAUCAACCGGUUCUUGGGAAUUUCAAUGACCAUGAGUAUCCAGUGAAAGCUGUUUACACACAUAUAUAUAACUAUAUAAAACUUGUCUCGAGUAAUAAUUAUUAAAAUAAAAUAUGCAUGCACUUAAUAACUAUAUAACUCACUCGAAGUUGAAAGGAAAGAAUAUUUUUUUGUUUUUCUUUUUGGUUCACAAAGAACCUCAUAAGAUUGGUGCAGACUUCUGUCUCAAGAGCUGCUGUCCACACUGCCUGCGGAGCUUUGAAAACAAUAUAAGGGUCAACGAACCCAAUAUUAUUGUCAUUUCUAAUUCUGACCUCUCUCAUUUGGUGCCUGCAUAUAUACAUACAAAUCCUAAGUGUGUAAGGAUUAUAUACAUGUAAUUAAUGAAGUUAGAAGUAUAAUAAAAAGAAAAAAAUACUUACACACAAAAGCAGCUGACAAGAGAUUUGUCGAGAGCGUCGAGGUGACAUAAUUGGUGCAAUUUUUCGAACUGCACGUAUAUGAGGUCAUCUCCACGGAAGUAGUGAUAUUGUCUAAUACGAACAGAAAUCUAAUUCUCUCCCCUUUUAGACGCCUCAAUGCACCAUUUGUUUAUUGCAAACAUUUGUGUGCCGAGCUCGUGUAAACGCUGAGAGUCGAAUAGACUCCUGCCCGGUUCAUAUCUUGCCCUCCAUUGAUCAAGUACCUCGGCUUUUUCAAAUGUUUGCCAUCCAAGAAUGGCGGCAAUUUCUUCCAUAUUUAAACCGCUCUGUUUAAAGUAACGUUCAAGCGAGUCUAGCUCAGACAACGCUAAGGAUUUCUUUGGCAUCAAGUCUUCAUUUGAGACGUAUUGAUUUGGCACAAUCAAAGGGGGCACCGGUUUUGAUACUUCUCCGAGCUGUGGGACCCCCUUUCCUACUCUCUUCUUAGGCUGUGAAGACUUGACCAGAGACCGCUCAUAGUCCGAAAGUGCUGGCUUUUUCUGAGCUUCGCGUUGCUUCUUUUGCUGGUCCGCCACCUUCUGCCUCAGUUCCGAUGGCUUUACAUAAAAGUACGGCUUUUUUGGGUUAAGCCGCUUUUUUCUAUCCUCCUUAAAUUUAUCAAAAAAUUGUUUCACCUCAGCUUUGGAUGCAGCAAUUACCUCCUCUUCACUCUUUUCGUAAGGUAAUUUUUAUGGUGUUUUAGCUCUCUUUGCUGAGGCAACCUUCUUUGUAGGUGGGACCGAUGACUUCGGUCGUUCUUGGACGGACCGCUUCUGACUACCUCGCUUUGGAGGCGAGGGCACCGACCGUGCACUCUUUGGAGAGGGCGGUGCAGGCGGUGGAGGUGGUGGGGCCGAUCUUUUCGGCGUUGGAGAACGCGGUGGAGGAGUUGGAGACCUCGGUGGAGGAGGUGGAGACCGUGGUGGAGGCGGUGGCGGGGUCGGUGUGGCCGCCGCAGGUGUUGGAGGAGAUCCAGCAUUGUCACCGCCCGCAGCACUAUGAUGCGCUGGGGAGAGAACUGGACUUAGGUAGGAGGAGUCCCUGCAAAGAAAACAAUUACAAGUUUUGUGAGCAAACUUUAUUUUAAUUUCAAUACAUAAUAAAUAAUAUAAGAAGUAAAAUCACACACAAACCUAUGUUGAGGAAUAAUUAUGAAGCGCUUGCGCCAACAAAUAAAUGUCUUCUCAGCUUCACCUAAGGUCUUCUCUCCGUCUCCCCCUUCUAUGUCUAGAGGCACAUUGCCACAACCUUUCUCAACCCUAUCAACCGAGACGCUAGCAUAUCCACCAGGUACUGGUCGAUUAUGGAUUCUUGGAGUUCUCGUUCGGUCGAUGGGAUUGACAACAGCGAUAGCCACCUUUUUGGUUGCAUUCCCAUCUGGUACAUGCAGCUCACAGGUAGUAAAAGCCUCUGUGACAUCAUCCACGGGGAAAUGUAGCUUCGUGUCAUCCUGAAUGGUUGGUACUUCCGUGGAUGCGCAGCUACUUUUCAACUGGCCUGGGGGGCUAACGUUGACCUCAGGCUGUGAUGUACCUUGCCCUUUCGUCAUUUGACUAAGUGCUGCUUGCACUUGCCUUUGAAUCUCCGCCUGCAUCCAUUCUUCAUGAGCUUUCUCGCGCUCUUCUGACUGCAGAACAAAAGCUUCCAGGCGGCGGAUCCGCUCUGCCUCCUCAUCCUUCUUUCUCUGGCGGCUUCUGUAGGUAUCUUGAUCGGCUUGGAAUGAUUGCAGCCACGGAACUGCCCCAUAGCCUCUCGUACGCCCACCGUGCUUAGGAUUUUCAAGCGCAUAGGUGAGUUCAUCCUUCUCCCUGUUAGGCCUGAACUCACCACACUGAACCGCCUCUCGUGCACGGACUAGUCUCUCUGCUGCUCUAGAUAUUUCUUGGCCCCAAACUAGCGCCCCGGUGUCUGGGUCCACGCUUCCCCCAUGACCGUAGAACCAAUGCUUGGAGCGCUCGCUCCAAUUCUUUGCUAUUGUCUCGGGUGUGACCCCCCUAGCAAGCAUCUCCUGUUCCAUUCUGUCCCACUUGGGAACAGCACUAUUAUAACCACCUGAUCCCAUAUGAUGGUGGUAUGUCUUUUUACUUGCAUUCUCUUUGUUUCUAAUGGCGCGUUCCUCGCCCUCUUCUGAUGUUUUGUACUGCACGAAGUCAUCCCAGAAGGCCCUCAGCUUUACAAAUUGCUUGAGGUUGAAAUUUGGAGUCUCGUUUUUCUUGACUAAUUUAUUGUACAAAGUCUUUUUCCAAUUCUGGAACAGUACUGUCAUCUUCUUCAUAGUCCAGUCAUAAAUUCGCACCUAACUCUUCAUCGUUGGUGUCGAAGGUGAAAACGUCUGUGACGGCUUUCCAAACUAACUCCUUGUCACGAUCAGAGACAAAACUGAUCUCAGGAGCACCUCGCUUCUCUCUCCAUUCACGAGCACUAAUCGGUAUUUGAUCUCUCACAAGAUAUCCAGAGUGACUAAUAUAUUUAUUUGCAUGUUCACCAAGUGGUCUUCUUAUAGCUAUCUCAAACUCAGAGAUUACAUAGCGGCCCUCCAAUGGCUUCUUUGGUCCUCGUGGAGGUACGCUUCUCCCCGUAGAGGUCGAUCCAGAAGGCUACACGUAGAUAUAGAAACAAAAAUACUAAAUUAAUAACCAAGUAAGUCUAAAACCUAAUGUAACAGAUGCAUUAUAUAUGUUUACAUUUACAUACCUUGCCAGUAUUUCCUUCUUGUUGCACGACAAGUUGUUGCUCAGGCGCAUUGCCCUCUUGUUGUUCAGUCGGAUUGCCUUGCAUGAUCUCGUUGUAAUCAAUAAAGUACUGACUACCGUCGUCGAUCAUAUGUUGAAUGGCAUCUUCCAUAUAAUCAGGAUCAUCAUGAGCACGGUCCGCCAUUUCUAUGUCUGCAACUAUACAUAUAUAUAUUCUAUGUAAGAUAAGAAAUUAACUAGAAUAAUAUACUAAAAAAUAAUACUAACAAUAACACUAGAAUGCAUAAUAUACUAAAACACUAGAAUCUUUUAAGCCAAGUAAUACAUUAGAAUAAAAAAUAAUACUAGAAUAAUAUAGUACAAACAAUAAUAUAUACAAAACACUAGAAAAUAAAAUAUGAUACAAGAAUAAUAUACAACAAAUAUAUACUAAAAAAUACUACUACAAAUAAUAUAUUAAAAAAUAAUACUACAAAAUAAUACAAGAAUAAAAUUAAUAUAUUACAAAUAUAUAUUAGCAUAGUAUAAUUUAUAACAGGUCAACACCGACGAGUGUUGGAGUGCUCUAAAAAUAAUACUAGAAUAAUAGUACAAAUAAUAAUAUAUACAAAACACUACUAGAAUAAAUUUGGUGGGUAAAUACUACUAGAAUAUAUAUUAAAGACUUAUAUACUACUACUAGUACUACUACAAAUGAAAGUGUUGGAGUGCUCUAAAAAUAAUACUAGAAUCUUUUAAGCCAAGUAAUACACUAGAAUAAUAUACUAAAAGAAUAAUACUAGAAUAAUAGUACAAACAAUAAUAUAUACAAAACACUAGAAAAUAAAAUAUAUAUAUUAGAGACUUAUAUACUACUAGUACUACUACAAAUGAAAGUGCUGGAGUGCUCCAAAAAUAAUACUAGAAACUUUUAAGCCAAGUAAUACAAUAGAAUAAUAUACUAAAAGAAUAAUACUAGAAUAAUAGUACAAACAAUAAUAUAUACAAAACACUAGAAAAAUAAAAUAUGAUACAAGAAUAAUACAAGAAUAAUAUACUACAAAUAUAUACUAAAAAAUACUACUACAAAUAAUAUACUUAAAAAAUAAUACUACAAAAUAAUACAAGAAUAAUAUUAAUAUAUUACAAAUAUAUACUAGCAUAAUAUAAUUUAUAACAUGUCAACACUACACUUAUACUAAUAUACUAAAAACUAUUACUAGAAUAAUAUACUAACAUCAUGCAUUCUUUUUUAGUGUAUAUAUAUAUACUUAAUAUAUAUACUAGCUAGCAUUCAUUAUUUAUUAUUUUUUAGUGUAAAAAUAUAUACAAAUCACUAAAAUUGCAAAGUGCUUGGCAUAUAAUUCAUAACAUUUAUUUAUUAUAUAUAUAUAAACUGCUGUGGAGUAUUUAUUAUAUAUAUAUAUCAAUCUCGGUUUUGGAUUAUACAUGGUGUGUAAUGUGGACGCGCGGGGCCGAGCGUGGAGAGGCGUAGAUGGCGGCGCUGGUGGAGAUGGUGGCCGCGACGGCGCUGGAGACGGCGGCGCUGGAGAUCGUCGAGGUUGCGCGCGGGCAGAUGAACGGGCGGCGGCGCUGGAGACGAUGAACUCGACGAAAACGAAGAUGAACUGCUUUAGAUCUAGGGCGCCCAUGACUUAAAUAGGGGCGGACCCUUUAGCACCGGUCCGUGGCUGGAACCGGUGCUAAAGGGCCUUUAAGACCGGCUGGUGUUACACGCCGGUGUUCCAGCCGGUGUUAAAGGGACCCUUUAGCAUCGGUUCGAGCCACGGACCGGUUCGAAAGGGUCCUACGCGGGCUCGGACGGGGUCCUGAAAAUUUUCAGGACCCUUUAGCACCGGUUCCCACUAUGGGCCGGUGCUAAAAGGCCCUGUUUUUUUACUUUAGGGUUUUUCAAUUGUUUAUAUAUACAGUUUAUAUUAUAAAUUGUAUAGUAAAUUAAAUAUUUUGCAUAAUAUUUUUUAAACAGUGAUAUAUAUUGUAAUUUUUUAUAAUGUACACAUGAAAAUUUUUAACCUUAAAUAUCUUACUAUAUUUUUAUAAUUUGCAAUGAUUUUGUAAGAAAUGUUUAGUAUUUUGUUAAUGCAAAAAUAUAUUAUUCCAAUAAAUUUACAAAAACUAUAUCCAAUCAACUGGAAAUCUAUUUUCACAUCAUAUUGACGUUAAACUUUUUAUUUUUGUUAUUUAUUACUCGGAAUGCUAGUAGGGUAUAGUUUUCAUCAAAUAAAAAAUCUAUUUAUAAUAUAAAAAUAUAUAUCUUGAUGAACACACCCUUUGACCGAACCCUAGAUUGUCCUAAAUAGAAAAGUCAUGAAUACAAAGUUUGUUACACUCAUCAAGUUCUACAUUUUGUCUAAUGUUCAACUUUUCUUUUGGAAAAGUUUGAACCACUGAAUUUAAAAUUUUCAGAGAAUUCAUAGCCAAGCAGCGGUAUUGUUAACUUAAACUUUCUCAAAUGAAAAAGUUGUGUAUAUAAAAAGUUUAGAUCUUGAUGAUAUCUAACAACUUGGUAUUCAAAAUUUUUUCAUUUUAAGUAAUUUAGUUUGUCAUUUGACCAAGUUUGACCAAAACACGUCUGAGAAUAUAUAGAAAUGUGAUUAGGAUUGGCUCAAAAUUAUCCAAAUGGAAAAAUGGACAAUAUAUAAAAUGUAGAUCUUGAUGAUCUCUAACAACUUUGUAUUCAAACUUUUUUUAUUUGAAGUCAUCAAAUGGGCCAUUUGACCAAGUUUGACCAAAGUCAAAGCAUUGGUUUUUACAAAAACACCCUUUGAACGAACCCUAGAUUGUCCCAAAUGGAAAAGUCAUGAAUACAAAGUUUGUUACACUCAUCAAGUUCUACAUUUUGUCUAAUGGUCAACUUUUCUUUUGGAAAAGUUUGAACCACUGAAUUUUAAAUUUUCAAAGAAUUCAUAGCCAUGCAGCGGUUUCGGAACCCUAGAUUGUCUCGAAUGGAGAAGUCAUGAGUACCAAUAUUGUUCCACUCAUCAAAAUCUACAUUUCAUAUAUAGACCAUUUUUGCAUUUGACAAAGUUUUGGGAAGGUGUAGUUGAAAAUCCACAAUUGACGCAUAUAGUUUCAUAUAGUUUGUGUGAGAUUCAAGAAUUGGUGGGUAUUGUUAACUUAAACUUUCUCAAAUGGAAAAGUUGUGUAUAUAAAAAGUUUAGAUCUUGAUGACAUCUAACAACUUGGUAUUCAAAAGUUUUUCAUUUUAAGUAAUUUAGUUUGUCAUUUGACCAAGUUUGACCAAAACUCAUCUUGGAUUUUAUAGAAAUGUGAUUAGGAUUGGCUCAAAAUUAUCCAAAUGGAAAAAUGGACAAUAUAUAAAAUGUAGAUCUUGAUGAUCUCUAACAAUUGGAAAAGUCAUGAAUACAAAGUCAUGAAUACAAAGUUUGUUACACACAUCAAAAUUCACAAUUCUCAAAGUCAAGCCGACACAACAGUGAACUUCUUCUUGACGUAUGACCCUUGGUUAUGAUCCUGCCGUAACCAUGGAGUAUCCUCAUUGUUUAACAGAAUGCUUGGGUCUUUGUUGACUAUGAAGGGCGGAAUUCGAUCAUCCCUUUCGUAAUCGCCUGACAUGUCUGACUUGUCCUCAAUUCCGAGAAUGUUUGUUUUCCCACAAAGGACAAUGUGGCGCUUUGGCUCAUUGAUGAUUGAGUGGUCAUCAUUUUUUCCUCUCUUUGGUUUCGUAGACAUAUCUUUGACAUAGAACACCUGACUCACGUCUGCAGCAAGGACGAAUGGUUCGUCUUUGAACCCACUAUUGUUAAGGUCCACGGUUGUCAUCCCAUACUCCUUGUCGACUGUUACCCCACCUCCGGUCAUCUUCACCCAUUGGCACCGGAACAAAGGAACUUUAAAAUUAGCUGCAUAGACUAGUUCCCAUAUGUCUUCUAUGCGUCCAUAAUAUGUUUGUCUGUUCCCAUUUGGAUCCGUGGCAUCCACGCGUACACCACUAUUUUGGUUGGUGCUCCUUUUAUCUUGGCCAACUGUGUAAAAUGUGUUACCAUUUAUCUCGUACCCUUUGUACGUGAGGACAUGCCAUGAUGGUUGCCUGGCCAACAAAUAAAGCUGCUCAUCAAUGUUUUCAUCACCUUGACAUUUUUUGCGCAACCAAUCGCCAAAAGUUUCCAUGUGCUGACGCAUUAUCCAAGCUUCAUUCUUCCCGGGCCACUGGGACCGUAGGAAAUCUUUGUGUACCUCAACAUAUGGUUCCACCAAUGAGGAGUUCUGGAGAACUGUGUAGUGUGCUUUAUUGAAGUAAUCGUCUCCCGUACUAAUAUAUAUUUUCUUCCCAAGUGUUCCUUUUCCGCAGAGUCGGCCCUCGUGUCGAGAUUCAGGAAUGCCAAUUGGGUCAAGGUCUAGAAUAAAGUCAACAUAGAACUCUAUGACUCCUCUGUUCCGUAGCCCUUGGCAAUGCUUCCUUCUGGCUGGGAACGACUAUGGACAUAUUUCUUUAGGACACCCAUGAAUCUCUCGAAGAGGAACAUGUUGUGUAGGAACACAGGACCGAGAAUACGAAUCUCUUUGAUCAGAUGAACUAGGAGGUGUGUCAUGAUACCAAAGAAGGAUGGAGGGAACACCAACUCAAAGUUGACGAGACAUUGAACGACAUCAUUCUGCAGAGUAGCUAGUUGCUCUGGAUUGAUUGCCUUCUGAGAAAUUGCAUUGAGGAAUGCACAUAUCUUUACGGUGGCUAGACGUACGUGUGGAGGUAAAUUCCUCUUAAAACCACCGGCAACAAUUGCGUCAUUAGAACGUGACAGUCAUGGGACUUCAAGUUCAGAAAUUUCUUCUCUGACACAUUAAUUAUUCCCUUGAUAUUGGAGGAGAAUCCAGAUGGGACCUUGAUGCUGCUAAGACAUUCAAACAUGCUUUCCUUCUCUUCUUUGCUCAGAGUGUAGCUAGCAGGGCUUAAGUAAUGACGUCCAUCAUCUGUCUUUUCUAGAUGCAGGUUGGCUCAUUCUUUCAUGCGCUGCAAGUCUUAUCGUGCUUCAAGUGAAUCCUUCGACUUCCCGUAGACACCCAUGAAUCCGAGCAAGUUCACACAAAGAUUCUUUGUUAGAUGCAUCACGUCGAUCGCGUUGCGGACCUCUAGGACAUUCUAGUAAGGUAGCUCCCAAAAUAUGGAUUUCUUCUUCCACAUGGGUACGUGUCCCUUAGCAUCCUUGGGAAUAGGUUCGCUGCCUCGUCCCUUUCCAAAUACCACUUUUAUAUCCUUGACCAUUUCGAGUACAUCAUCCCCGGUUCGAUUGAGAGGUUUGGUCCGGUGGCCUGCCUUGCCUUUGAAAUGCUUGCCUUUCUUUCGUACUGGGUGGUUCACAGGAAGAAACCAACAGUGGCCAAGGUACACGACCUUUCAACAUUUUUUCAAAAAUACACAGUCAAGAUCUUCAUAACAAUGUGUGCAUGCAUUAUAUCCCUUGUUUGACUGGCCUGAAAGAUUACUCAGAGCUGGCCAAUCAUUGAUUGUUACAAACAGCAAUGCUCGCAGGUCAAAGUGCUCUUGUUUGUACUCAUCCCACACGCGAACUCCUGGUUUGCUCCAUAAAAGUUGAAGUCCUCAACUAAUGGCCUUAGGUAGACAUCUAUGUCAUUGCCAGGUUGCUUCGGUCCUUGGAUAAGCACUGGCAUCAUAAUAAACUUCCGCUUCAUGCAUAGCCAUAGAGGAAGGUUGUAGAUACAUAGAGUAACUGGCCAAGUGCUGUGACUACUGCUCUGCUUACCGAAAGGAUUCAUACCAUCUGUACUUAAGGCGAACCGCAAGUUUCUAGCAUCAUCUGCAAAAUCUAGGAAUUCUCUGUCUAUCGCUCUCCACUGGGAUCCAUCGGCAGGGUGUCUCAGCAUAUUGUCUAUCUUACGGUCUUCUUCAUGCCACCGCAACAACUUUGCAUUGUCCUUAUUUCUGAACAGACGUUUUAAUCGUGGUAUUAUAGGAGCAUACCACAUAACCUUGGCAGGAAUUUUCUAACUAUGACAUUCUUCACCCUCAACAUCGCCAGGAUCAUUCCGCCUAAUCUUAUACCGUGAUGCCUUACAUACUGGACAUGCAUCCAAAUUCUCGUAUUCCUCCCCACGGUAGAGGAUGCAGUCAUUAGGACAUGCGUGUAUCUUCUAGAUUUCUAAUCCAAAAGGGCAGAUAACCUGUUUUGCUUCAUACGUAGUGGUGGGGAAUUCGUUGCCUUUCGGAAGCAUCUUUUUUAUGAUCUUCAAUAACUGCCCAAAUGCCUUGUCAGAUGUACCAUUCUUUGCCUUCCAUUGCAGCAAUUCCAGUGUGGUACCCAGCUUUUUUUGCACCUCUUUAGCGGUGGGAUAUAGCGAUUUCCUGUGGUCCUCUAGCAUGCGCUCGAACUUGGCUUUCUCUUUAUCACUUUCACAUUCUCUUUGUGCAUCACGGAUGGCAUCACCAAAAGCAUCAUCGCCCCGAUCAUCUUCUGCCGCUACCUCUUCUUCAUUAUCUCCCCCAUUGCAACAUCAUUGAAGCCACCGUACUGAGCAAUAAUAUUGGCAUGGUCCAAUUCUUCUUCUUCUUCACCUUCAUCCAUUAUAAUCCCGCUUUCUCCAUGUUUGGUCCAACAAAUAUAGUUUGGUACAAAACCAUACUUUAAUAAGUGCGAAUGAAGAGUUCUUGAGUUAGAAUAUUCAGUCAAAUUCUUGCACACGCCACAUGGACAGCACAUGAAACCGUCUCUCUUAUUUGUCUCGGCCACACUUAAGAAAUAGUGCACGCCAUUAAUGAACUCUAAGGAGCGCCGAUCGGCAUUAUACAUCCAAUUACGUGUUACCAUCUGCAUUAAAUAUAACAUAUAUAUUAUGAAAACCAUGCACACAUAUAGUUUCUCAUCUUAUUGCACAACAUGCCUAAGAUACAUAGUUGAUUAAUUCACGAAAGCUUGGCUACAACAAAUACAAUCGCAACUAGUACUAAAAAAACCAAAACUAAAAUGCACUUAAGCAACAUAAUUAGUUCGCGUCCGAUCCCAACUAUAAUAGAUAGAUCAUUCGCUUGGUCAACAUCAUUGAACUCCUUUCGUCGGCUCACUGCCUCACCACAUUCAGCUCACUGCCUCACCAUUCAGCCUCAACCACCUAUGCAUAAGAUUUCUUAAUGUGUUCAAUGUAUUCUUCCUCCCAGUACCAACCUGUACAUCCGUCGGUACCGUCCCACUGAAAUUAAAAGAGAUAAUUAAAAGUUUAAUUAAUAUCAUUUUAAAAAAUAUGCACAUAUAUAAGCAAAUGUCUGGAAAUAACUCACAUUACGAUCUGGACACUUGUAGAAUAUACGACCCUUGUUUACUCCCUCUUUCGACACUUUGUACUCCAUCACAAUCUUCUGCCCACACUUGCCACAAGUAAUGAGAGGGAGUUCCGGCCGGUAUCGCUUUUGAACCCGUUGAGAGACCGAAGACCCGGUCACGGUUGCCAUCUACUAUCCAUACUCAAUUUUUAAACAAUUAUAAAUUCCACAUUUACUAGUAAACAUGUAUGAUUAAAGAAGAACCUAAUAAUAUCCUUUAUUUGUCUAGCUACUUCAACAAAUCUUCUAAAUUAUACAAUGGACAUUGUGUAGUAAUAAAAAUAAAUCAAGUGAUAUUAACAAACCAAUUAAUUUGAAUUAUCCUACUUUCUAAGAUCAUAAAAAGAUACUAUAAUUCAUUCUUGUAAACUAAAUUAAUACUAUAUCAACCAUGAAAUAAGCAAGAACAUGUGGAUUUGAGCUAAAAAUAAAGGGAACAUCAUAAGCCAAAAACAACAUGAAAAAGACAAGAAAGACAAAAGUUAGUCACCUCCAAACACGAAGAAACGAUGACGGAGGCAAAGAAGAUCAACGAUGGGCGUCGGAGAUGAAGAACAAGGAAGAACAAGCUCCAAGAACAACAAUGGUGAAUGGUGCUCUCGGUUUCAAAUGGGCAGAGAGGAGGAGGGAUCCGGCCUAUAAACCGGACCUUUAGCACCGGUUCAGGGCAAAAACCGGUGCUAAAGGGUGACCCUUUAGCACCGGUUUGUACCACAAACCGGUGCUAAAGGGUUUGCCUCGGCCCGUGGCGCUGGCUGGUGCUAAAGGGGACCCUUUAGCACCGGUUUGUAACACGAACCGGUGCUAAAGGGUCCCUGCCCCGACAGCACCUGUCAGUAGCCGUUGGGCAGGACCCUUUAGCACCGGUUCGUGUUACGAACCGGUGUUAAAGGGGUAUUUAACCCCGGGCCGCAAAAAGGCCGAGGUUUUUGGCCAUUUUGGGCAUCGACCAAUGCCUCAUUCUGUAGUAGUGCCUCUUUACCACCUCGUCCUGAGUAGAAUCACCAUGACCUGGAGCAGACAAUGCAAGCCACCAAGGGUGCAUUUUGUUUGCUUCCCAAUAAAGCCUGGUCAAUCCGAGGCACACAAAAAGGGUUUUUCCGAGGCAGCUGGCAUCACCCAAAAGGUCAGAGUAAAUAAAUCGUUACAGAGUCGAUUAAAAUUUUUUCCUUGGUUAAUCAAAUUAAAAACAAAAAAUAGGAAAAUCCAUGGAUAGACCCACUAAACCCAUCCACGCGCGCUGCCACCGCCGCUCGCUGGAUCUAGACUCCCCACCAACAAAUCCGGCCUCCACGCCACCAAAUCCGACCUUCGCAGGAUUGCCGUCAGCACCCGACAUCGUAAGAUCCGCUAGGGCGAGCAGACAGCCACCACCCCACUGGAUCUGCCACGCCGCCGUAGGAUCUACCACCUCGCCCACCGGAUCCAUGAUUUGCUUGCCAGAUCCACGCCACCAGGUUAGAGAGAGCUCGUCAGAAGGGUGGGCGCGUCCACCGGUGUGCCACUAGGGCAUCGAAGUCAGAUUGGCGGGCGUGGCCACCCGCGCGCUGCUGAGGCAUCGGAGGUGUGAGUGCUGCUCACCGCUGCUCGCUCUAGAGAGAGAGAGAGAGAGAGAGAGAGAGGAAGAGGAGUGAGAGAGGAAGGGUGAGGAAGGAUGCGCUGCCUAGCUGCUAGCUCUGGAAUGAGGGAGGGAGAGAUGGAGGGAGAAGAGGUAUGUGCGGGUGAGGGAGAGAAGACGGAGGGAGGGAGGCUUGCAAGUGAGGGUAGGAGCAGAAGGAUUAUUUCCAGAGGGAAGGUCAGGAGCAUUGCAUCGUUCCAAAUUGUGAGUGACCUAAGCAAAACACAGGAACAGAUUUCCUUUAAAAUUCCUGUGAAUAAUACUACAAUCCAAACAUGCCCUUAUACUUUUCACAAUGGCACCAUUAGGUUAGCUUCUGUUAAAGCACAUGGUCUCAAUCGCAUUCAUACUACUUUCGGGGUACUAAUAUACAUCCUGUCUCAGUGACUUUCAUUUGAAAAGGUAGAACUGUAGCAGGUAUGACACAUAGCACACUUGUUAUCAAAAGCAAAGCAGAACUAACAAUGGGGCUGAUUCGAUGAAAUGUUGAGAAUUCUGCAUGUUCUUGCUCAAAAUGCAGAAAACAUUUUUUAAUUUCUUCCUCAGAAUUGGAUCCAAAGGUUGUGAAAGGCACCAACAUCCUGCUACAUGCUGCAAUUAAGAUGAUAUAGUGGCUAAUCUAAGGAGGCAGUGCAUCACUUCAAUGGAAGAACAUGACGCAGAAGAGAACAAGGAUCAUUAGCCUAAGGAAAAGUAAUGGAUUAGCUGCUGAAGAAGUCGGCGUCCUGUGAUUGGGUUACUCUUUGUUGCAGGUGAUGUUGGUUGUACUUGAUUGCUUAGGUCAGAUAAUAUCUUCUGUUUGUUCUGUUGAACCUAUACCUGGGUCAGGCGUUUUGAGUCUUUCUCUUCUUCUACACUAAACUCUAUAACUCUGUUAUGAUUUCGAUGAUAAUGAAAAUGGGAUUAUCCCAAAAAAAGAAUUGAAUCCUAAGGAUACAAGGUUUUUUUGGGAAACCCUAAGGAUACACGGUUUAUCACUUCUAAAAGCAAUGAAAAUGUGCCAUUCAUAAAAACUGAAUAGAGUAUAUAUAUCAAGAUUCAAACAUGAUCUUGAGAUUGAGGUAUGUCAUGAAAUCAGAUAUAGUCAGUAAAAAUGAUAACUUCAGAAUUCAGUAAAAACAUGACCCGGUUACUCAUAAAAAUGCAAUUAUGUUCCUGAUCAUUAGUGUCUCAUCACAAAUCACAAUAAAUUUUGCCAAGACUCAUGAUAGCUUGCUACACUGAUGUUAGUAAUUUUUCAUCAAUGUUUAGAUACCAUUGCACAACUAGUUAUUGUUAAAGUUCACGCGCAGGAUAAGUUUUCUGCCUGCUUCACCCUCAUAAGAAAUAGUUCAUUAGUAUAACUAAAACAUCUGGCGCACUUCGGGCGCACUAUCGUGAUUUGAAGAGCAAGAUUACUUUGUUUAUUAUGUGUGAACAAUAGAAUAAUAAUUAAAUAAAUGAGUAAGAUCCAUACAUGCUCUGCAGUUACAAUCAACUCUCAAGUUGGAACAAUAUAAAUAUAAUGUACAAUACAAUCCUCUCUCAAGUCUCAUUCAGCAGAAACUUGUUACUUUCUUCACUUUUCAUGACUUCUCUACUUGGGUCUUGAAUUUCAACAUGUUCAUCACAGAAUCAGGUCCAUCACAUAAUCGCUUCUUGCAUUUCUAGAGAGAAAUAGCAUAGAUGACAAAAGCCAAUAAUAUGUCAAUAAUAGUUCCUACCAAGAAGACUUAAAGCACAAAUGGAUGGUGUUUCGGAGUUUGACAUAAAGCACGCCAAAAGAGAAGGAUGACAAAAGCCAAUAAUAUGUAAUAAUAGUUCCUACCAAGAAGACUUAUGAAAUGUGUACUACCCUCUGAAGAUGUACGAAAUUAUAUGAACGUGACAAAGCAACGUAUGUAACAUACAAAUUCAAAGUUAGCAGAUUGAAAGAAUACACUUCCGUGUGUGGAGUAACAUUGUCUUAUACAUAAAUUUGCACAUAGAAACUGAACAGCAUAUUGAGCAUUGUAGAGUUCCUAAACACUGGAGUGUCUUAUAUCAGACUGUAUCUUCAUCAUCAAAUACAAAGUCAUUAUUCCAAACAGGAAAAAACACUUCGUCAUUACUAAUAUGACCUAACACAGUUUAUCUCUACUAUAAUUGAAAUCUUUUCCAGCCAAAUCCCACUUGCCACAUCAACGACUCACAUCACAUGUCCUACAGAUUAGACAGCUCAGAUUAAAAGUAUGAUCACAACCUUACAACCUCACCUCACUCCGCCCUCACGCGUCGCCUCGCUUCAUCUCCGCAUCGCAAAAAACACUCCUCGUCAAAAACUCUGUAACUCCGUAUCGUAUCUCAGAAAACCGAUCCCGGCCGUGGAAGUGGAGCACCGCGUCGCCGAUCCCGGACGUGGAAGCCGUGGAGGAGCCGUACCGAUCCCGGCCGUGGAAGUGGAGUACGGCAUCGCCGAUCCCGGCCGUGGAAGCCGUGGAGGACCGCGUCGCAGAAAAACCGCAUCAACGCACUCGCUUGGGGUGAAUCUAGCGUCGGCGGCUCUUGGCUUCGUGGAUCUCGGGGAGCAUGGGGCAGCAGCAGCAGUUGCCGCAGUUCUCGUCUCACGUGGGGCUGCUGCGUUGCUCGGCUUUGGGGCUCGGGGUGCGUGGGGCAGCGGCGCCGGCGGCGGCUGGAGCGUAUGGCCGAAGGCACCACUGCCCUGUCCGUCAGGGGCGCAAGUCCAAACGCAUCCACAACGAGCGCCCCUCUGAGAUCUGUUGACACCGUUUUUGGGCAUGUGUCCAGGAUGGCAGGAUAAGAUGACAGUAUGUGGUUUACAGGAUGAGUUGCCGAUGAGGAUGGUUGCCGAUAAAGGAGAGGUUGGACGUGACUAAGUUUACAGGUGAUGAUGUGUUUGUGCCGAUGACUAUGAUGAGGAGGUCUGCCGAUGACCAUGGCAAAAGAGUCUGCCGAUGAUACAGAGGGGGAGUCUGGAAGCUGCUGAUCGGGUUGUGGAAGAGUUUUAAUUUGUCACGAGGGAUAACUGAGUUAUUUCCUUAUUUAUUUAAAUCGUUUUGUAUGCGGAUUCCGUGUAAUUUGGAAUUUGAAUUCUGGUCGUGUUUAGUUAUAGCUCUUUGAGCAGGGUAUAAAUAUGGACCCUAGGGCUUUGUAAUGAGACAACUAUCAAUCAAUCAAACACACGUUUUUACUCAUAUUCCAGCAUCUACUUUUCGACGACUUCGUCAUACUUUUUCCCUUUUAUUACGAGUUCUUAGGAAUUCGUCGACUUAAGCUCGGCGUGUUCUCAAGUUCCGUGUGAGUACCUCUUAGCCGUGACAUCCGGGCGCAUCGCUGUUGUCAGGACUAAAGUAUUCGAGUUAUCACCUUUGCCGAUAGUAAGGUCAAAUCGGCUGGCACACCUUAACGUUUGAAUUGGGUAUUAGCCCUUUGUGUUUGCAGAUUAAUUUUGCACCAACACAUCUUUUGGCACGCCCAGUGGGACCAGAUUCAAGAUCAAGAUCAACAUGUCGAUCUCUGACCUCGAUCAGGAGAACGUCAUCCCCGUGACGGAGGCCAAUCUCAAGGACGAGCAGAAGCAGGCUAUUGCCCAAGCCAUGGAAGAGUUCAAGCUGCAAUGCCUGAGGUCUUUCAGCAUAAGCAGGAGCGGCGAGGUGAUUCAGAAAGAUGCACUGCCGGCACCACGGCAGGUCACCUUCGAAGCCAAUCCUGGCAAGCUUCAAGAUAUGGUUGACAGUGCUAUCAACCGAGCUAUGAUCAACCAAGCCGGCGUACUGUCUAAUACGGUUUUCAAUGCCGUGGCAAGAACUUUCAAGGAAGGACAAAUCCCACCAGAUUAUGUGGGCCCCUCUCAUCAUCAGCCAACAGCACCAGAGGUCACGGCUCCAUCGGCUGCUUUGACGGCUGCAAGUGCACAAUCUGCCGUCCCUCCAAGUACAUCGGGAGCUACUGGUGCACUAUCUAUGCCGAUGACAACUAACCCACAAACUUCAAGUGGGCAGAAUAAACUGACAACAGACAUGUUGGCAUCGGCAAUGUCAGGGUUGACUCUUCCUCCUAACUGGUGGGGUUAUGGUAUGCCUCCAGAAUUGACGCCAGGAACAUCGCAGAUAACCGACAUGAGGGGCAAGACUCCUAUGACAUCGGCGCUUCCCAAUGUGCCGUUGAACCAGAGUCCUCGGUAUACAACAACUACUACUGCAAGGCCUCACACUGGGUCAAUUCAAUGAUGGUACCCAAUUACCAAUCAUCGGCAGCGCCUAUGCCGAUGAACGCUAAUAAUGGAUGGCUUGGACAGCAAGUCUUUCCACAAUCGCCCCAACAAAGUUACCAGGCUACGGGGUUCCAGCAAGGACAGAUCUAUCCCGGAUUCCAAAGUCAGGGGAUCUCCAGCCAGCCAAUGAAUAUUGGACAGCAACUCGGGGGACAGCAAGUCGGUGGACAGCAGUUUGGUGGUCCGCAGAUUGGAGGACAGAUGAUCAAUCCGAUGCUUCGUGCAGAUCACGUCCCGAACAGACACGUGGAGGUUCGCCACCAAGUGCCGGACCCGCAGCCGCCUCAUCGGCAGGAUGCCGAUGCAUAUUGGGCCGAUAAAAUCGCUGAAGUAAUGAGGGAACAAUUUGGGAUAAAACCCAAAGUCAACACUUACUCUUAUCGGACACCGUAUCCUCCUGCAUAUGAUUUAAUCCCGCUCCCACAUCGGUACAAGGUACCGGAUUUUACCAAAUUUUCCGGGCAGGAUGACACGUCAACCAUGGAGCACGUCAACAGGUUCAUCAUUCAAUGCGGAGAAGCUGGUAACAGAGACGAAUUGAGGGUUCGUCUAUUUUCAUCAUCAUUAUCUGGAUCGGCCUUUACUUGGUUCAUAUCAUUACCUCCCAACUCAGUGAUUACUUGGGCCGAUCUGGAGAAACAAUUCCACAAAUACUUCUUCUCCGGGGUUCAUGAGAAGAAGAUCACCGACUUGGUCAAGUUGAGAUAGCGCAAUGAUGAAUCAGUUGAAGGUUUCGUGCAGAGGAUACGGGAAGUUAAGAAUAAAUGCUACAGUCUGGUUCUAGAUGAUCGGCAGCUAGCCGAUUUGGCUUUCCAGGGUUUAUUGCCACACAUCAGGGAUAAGUAUGCUUCUCAGGAGUUUGAAAGCUUAAGUCAUUUGGUGUAGAGGAUUUCUGAUCAAGACAUCAAGCCUUUCGAACCCAAAAGAGCAUGGAACAAGAAAGUAUCAUUUGUUGAUGAAGCAACGAGCUCCGAUUCUGAUGAGGAACCAGUCAUCGGCUUGGCAAAGUGGGUCAAAAACAAGAAGCCGAUGUCUUGUCCUUUUGGGCAGAAAGAACCAGAGAAGUUCGCUUUCGACACUGCUAAGGCCGAUAAGAUAUUUGAUUUUCUACUCCAGGAAGGUCAAAUCAAGCGUCUCCUAAUCACGUGAUCCCAUCAAUUGAGGAGUUGAAGAGGAUGAGAUAUUGCAAGUGGCAUAAUGCGACUUCUCAUGACACUAAUGAAUGCAAAGUGUUCAGACAACAGCUGCAAUCGGCAAUAGAGUCUGGGAGGAUUAAGUUUGACAGUUCCAAGACCCAGAAGCCGAUGAAGAUAGACCAACAUCCUUUCCCGACAAACAUGUUGGAUGCCAAGGGGAAGGCCAAGGUCUUAACAUCGGAAACAGCCGAGAAAAGUGCAUCGGUAGAUCCUCAGCAUCAAGUUACUACUGCCGAUGCAAAAAGUAAGGGCUUACUCCAGGAAGGAACCAGUUCGGGUAGGCCCCCUCGGUCUGGUAUUGUUAUAACUCAUAGAAGACCUCGAGAGAACUGGCAGCAACGGGAAGAUCGGUAUCGGCGCCAGCAAGAAGAUUAUCGCCAGCAAGAAGAUUACCGACGGGAAGAAGAAAGACGCCGACAGGAGUGGAAUCGACAUAGAGAUCAUUGGAACUGCCCGUUCUUCAUCCAUUGUUGGGAGGAAAAUAUUAAGCUUCCCACUGUCAGAGACUGUCCUGAGUGCAAUGGUUAUGAUCGGUACGACAGGACUGAUCGGCGUUAUCAUGAUGACAAUCGGCGAUUUAAUGGGCCGAUCAGAGGAAGAGCAUCAGUUCAUGAUCGGCUGGGGGGCAGGCUCAGCGUGCACGAUAGGCUUGGCAAUUGUGUCCAAUAUUUUCCCAGUAACCAGGAAGAACUCGAGGAGAUGGCUAAUGCACGAGUUCCCGAUGAGUUCAUAUUUUGCAGGGAUGCUAACACGCAUCGGAUAGAGUCAAGGGAGAAUCGACGCCCAGCAGUAAGGCAGAAGCCACUUCCUCCAUGGUGUCCGGAAGGGUUGAUCAAGACACAGAAAAGGAGAUUGCAGCGUGAAAGGCAAGAGGAGCUAAACAAGGGCGAGAACUCUGGAAGUCAGCAGCCAUCAGACACCAAGAGGGAAAGUCCAUCGGCGGGAGUUAACAUGGUUUUUAUGUUGCCGAUGGAGUUUCUUGCACCAUCCAGUGAUGAUGAGUUGGAAUUUUCUGAUCAGAUAGCUCAGCUGGCUCUGGAUCCGAUGACAGCUAUCUUUGAGAAACCUGCCGAUGACGAAAGACAACAUCUUAAGGCUCUAUUCGUCAAAGGGAGGGUUGAUGGGCAGCCAAUGACCAAGAUCCUAGUUGAUGGUGGAGCUGCUAUUAAUAUUAUGCCUUAUGCAGUAUAUCGGAAGCUUGGGAAAGGGGAUCAGGAUUUGACCAAGACCGAUAUGAUGCUCAAAGACUUUGAAGGAAACGUGUCUCCAGUUAAAGGAGCAAUAUGUGUGGAGUUGACCAUCGGCAGCAAAACCUUGCCGACAACUUUCUUCGUGAUCAGUGGAAAGGGUGCUUACAACUUAUUGUUGGGAAGAGAUUGGAUUCAUGCUAAUUGUUGCAUCCCAUCUACAAUGCACCAAUGCUUGGUUCAGUGGAUAGGUGACAAGAUUGAGAUUGUCCCGGGAGAUUCUUCUUAUGUCAUUGCAUCGGCGGAGGCGGAUACCUAUGAGAGGACCAAGUGCAUUUCAGGAGAAGUUUGGGAGAAAGAUUUUCUCAAAGUUGCCGAUUACGAGAUUCCACCGAUCCAAGCAGUCAGUUCUGACGACGGUUUUUAAUGGAUAGAUUCGCCGAUGAUGGAAAAUUAGGCCAGGGAUUCACAUCGGCCGAUGAUUUGGUAGAAGUAGAUAUAGGUAGUGGUGAUAAGCCUAGACCUACUUUUAUUAGUGCUAAAUUAAAUCCUGAGUGUAAGCAACAAUUAACCGAUUUAUUAAAGGAAUAUAAAGAUUGCUUUGCUUGGGAUUAUACCGAGAUGCCUGGUUUAGACCGAUCAAUUGUUGAACAUCGGUUACCCAUCAAGUCUGGAUUUCAGCCACAUCAGCAGCCAGCUCGCCGAUGUAAUCCUAAUAUUCUACCUGAUAUUAAGGCCGAAAUCACCAGACUCAUUGAAGCUAAGUUUAUUCGGCAGUGUCGGUAUGCCGAAUGGAUUUCCAAUGUUGUUCCGGUUUACAAGAAAAACGGGAAGCUUCGGGUGUGCAUUGAUUUCAGGAAUCUCAAUAAAGCUACGCCGAUGGAUGGAUACCCAAUGCCUGUUGCCGAUCUGUUGGUUGAUGCUGCGGCCGGUCAUCGGGUCAUUAGCUUUAUGGACGGCAAUGCAGGAUACAAUCAAAUAUUCAUGGCAGAGGAAGAUAUUCCAAAAACUGCAUUUAGGUGUCCUGUUCAUGUCAGUUUAUUUGAAUGGAUAGUCAUGACCUUUGGGUUGAAGAAUGCUGGUGCUACUUAUCAAAGGGCCAUGAAUUUUAUAUUUCAUGAGUUCAUCGGCAAGCUGGUGGAGAUCUAUAUUGAUGAUGUGGUGGUUAAGUCUGGGGAUUUCUCAAAGCAUCUUGUCGACUUACAAAAGGUGUUAGAGUGCACAAGGAAGCAUGGGUUGAAGAUGAAUCCCAAUAAGUGUGCAUUUGGUGUAUCGGCAGGGCAGUUUCUUGGUUUCAUGGUACAUCAAAGGGGGAUUGAAAUGAGUCGAAGAUCUAUUGAUGCUAUCAAUAAAAUAGUGGCCCCUACCAACAAGACUGAGCUCCAGUCCUUGAUCGGCAAGGUAAAUUUUAUCAGGAGAUUUAUAUCCAAUCUGUCUGGUAAAAUUCGUGCUUUCAGUCCUCUUCUUAAAUUGAAAGCCGAUCAAGAAUUUAUUUGGAGAAAAGAGCAGCAGUUGGCUUUGGAUGAAAUCAAGAAAUAUCUAGUGAAUCCUCCAGUUCUAGUUCCACCUCAACAAGGAAAGCCCUUCAGAUUGUAUUUGUCUACCGAUGGGACGGUUAUCGGUUCAGCUUUGGUCCAAGAAUUUGAAGGGAAAGAGAGUGUAAUUUACUACUUAAGCAGGAGAUUAAUUGAUGCUGAGACCAGGUAUUCGGCCAUUGAGAAGUUAUGCUUAUGCUUAUAUUUUUCGUGUAUUAAAUUGAGGCACUAUUUAUUAUCGGCCGAAUGCACUGUUGUUUGCAAAGAUGAUGUGGUCCGAUACAUGCUGUCUAUGCCGAUUAUGAGUGGCAGGAUCGGUAAAUGGAUUUUAGCACUGUCGGAGUUCGAUCUGCGUUACGAAUCGGCUAAGGCAGUUAAAGGAUAGAUUAUGGCUGAUUUUGUGACUCAGCAUUGCGGUGUAGUGGAGGCCUUGGAAAUUGUGCCUGGACACUUUUCUUUGAUGGAUCUACAUGUGACCGGGGGGCAGGAAUCGGCAUUGUAUUAGUUUCCCCUAAGGGGAAGAAGUAUGAAUUUUCCUUGCCGAUUGUUGCUACAUCGACAAAUAAUCAGGCUGAGUAUCAGACUCUGAUCAAGGGAUUGGAAUUGUUAAGAGAAGUUCGUGCUGAUGCUGUUGAAAUUUUUGGGGAUUUUAUGUUGGUUAUAAAUCAAUUGGCCGGGAGCUAUGAAUGCCGAAGUGAAGCUCUCGUAACUCAUUUCGAGAAAAGCAUGCGACUGCUGAAAGAAUUCAAAGAUUUCCGAUUAGAGCAUAUUCCUCGAUUGCAUAAUGAAGAGGCCAAUCGGUUAGCUCAGCAUGCCUCGGGAUAUCAGCCUAUGAUUAAUGCAAUAUCGGCAAUCGGUGCCGAUGAUUGGAGGAAGGAAAUUAUUGAUUAUCUAAAGGAUCCAUCCAAGAAAGUUGAAAGACGAGUUCGAUUUCAAGCAACCAAAUAUGUGCUCCUCGAAGAUGAAUUGUAUUAUCGAACUAUUGAUGGAAUUCUUCUCCGAUGUUUGGGUGAUGAUGAAGCUAGGAGUUUGAUGGGAGAAAUCCAUGAAGGGGUAUGUGGAGCACAUCAGUCGGCUUUCAAAAUGAAAUGGAUGAUUAGAAGGAAUGGAUAUUUUUGGCCGACUAUACUUGAGGAUUGCUUUAAGUAUUUCAAGGGAUGUCAAGGUUGUCAAAAAUUUGGUAACAUUCAAAGAGCACCCGCAUCGGCUAUGAAUCCUAUUAUCAAGCCUUGGCCGUUUCGGGGUUGGGCUAUCGAUCUGAUCGGCCAGAUUUAUCCACCAUCUAGUAAGGGGCAUAAAUUUAUUUUGGUUGCCACUGAUUAUUUCACUAAAUGGGUUGAAGCUAUUCCUUUGAAGAAGGUCACCUCGGCCAAUAUGAUUGAUUUUGUGAAGGAACACAUUAUUUACCGAUUUGGGAUUCGUCAGACAAUUACUACCGAUCAGGGCACUAUGUUCACAUCGGGGGAGUUUGAUGAAUUCGCAAUCGGUAUGGGGAUUAAAGUAUUGAAUUCUUCUCCUUAUUAUGCUCAAGCCAAUGGGCAGGCCGAAGCAUCUAACAAAGGGAUUAUCAAGCUUAUUAAACGAAAGAUUGAAGAAAAUCCUAAGCGGUGGCAUACAUUGUUAAAUGAAGCACUGUGGUCUUGUCGAAUGGCUUGUCAUGGAUCAACCAAGGUGUCACCCUAUCAAUUGGUGUAUGGACAUGAUGCAGUGUUGCCUUGGGAGAUUAAGGCCGGAUCCAGGCGAUUAUCUUUUCAAGAUCGGUUAACCGCUGAUAAUUAUGCUACUUUGAUGACCGAUGAGUUGGAUGAUCUAGCAGGGCAUCGGUUAAAAGCUUUAAUGAGUAUAGAAGAAAAUAAGAAGAGAGUUGCUAGAUGGUAUGAUAAGAAAGUGAAGGCUAAGGAGUUUGUCGAUGGGGAUUUGGUAUGGAAAUUAAUUUUGCCAGUCGGGACUAAAAGUGCCAAGUUUGGAAAGUGGUCUCCUAAUUGGGAAGGUCCUUAUCGGAUAAGUCGAUCGGCUCCUGGUAAUGCCUAUAUUCUAGAAACUCUCGAAGGAGUUGAAUUUCCUAGAGCAUUAAAUGGCAAAUAUUUAAAGAAGUACUACCCCAGCAUAUGGGUCGAUGCAUAAAAGUUUAAAUGCCGAUAACACUCCUAUCGACUGGAUUCAAAUGUUUAGGGGCUUAGUGUUUCAAAAGAUGCCGAUAACAGUCCUAUCGGCUAGACUAAAAGCUGAGGAAGCAGGAAAGCACAGAUAUGAUGCCGAUGAAAACUUUAUGUGUUAAGCAGCGCCUGGAUUGCCGAUAUAGCACGUAGCCGGAUUUGGUUGGCUGCUUCUAUCUCCUUAAUGUCAUCAUCGGCAGAACCCUCUAUUGGCUUCAGUUUCUUCUUCAGUUGAAGUGCCUUGCGACCAUGAACGUUUCGCUCGUCUUCAAGAAGCUUGAUGGUCUCUGGCAGUUGGCUCUCUUCCUGUUGAGCUUGGGAUAAGGCGUCCUCCACUUCCUUAAGUUCUGCCAACAAGGAUUCUCUUCUUGCCGAUAGAUCGGAUAUUUUCUGCUUCAGCGCGUCUCCUGACGAUCUCAGGAUGCCGAUGUUCUUGUGCUUCUCAUCGGUCAAGAGCUUCUCUUUCCUCAUUUCGUCGGAGAGUUGAGUCUGAGCAGCUCUAUCGGCAAGACGCCGAGAAGCUCUCUGGUACUGCAGCUGCCGACUCUCCAAAUGAGCGGCUUGGAAAAGGGUUUCUUCGACAUCGGCUGGGAUUUGGCCUCUGAGAGUUCUGAACAGGGUCUUGGUAGGGUCGGAGUCGUCAACCAACUGCGCUGUGUCCUGGUGAAGGAGAGCUGACAAUUCCUCCAGUCUGGUCCUGAUCUCUGCCGAUGUAAUGCCAACUGUCUGAGAAGAGCUUGCCUCUUCGCCUUCUUCUUCAGAGAGAUCGAUGGCGAAGGAAAACAGGCUGUCGGGAGAAUCUUGUUCCUGGAGGGAGAGCAAAGUUAGUUCAUACUCAGAGAAUCGACAAAUAAUGCAGGUAAAGGUUGGGUGGCUUACUUGUUUUAAGGCUAUUUCCUGCCUCUGUCUGAAAGAUGCCGAUGGAGAUGCAGGAUGAUCGGCUACGGUUGCCGAUGGGACGAUAUCGACUGAAAAAGACAGGAAGGGUUAUGAGACUAAAUGAGAAUAAGUUUAUCGGUGGAAGUUUUGUUGAAAUAUGUUACCUGGAGGAGGAACAACAGUUGUCUGAAUCAGGGGAACCGCCGACGGUAUAAUUGGACCUGACGGGCCAGUUGUUUGUUCACCCACGUCAGCUGAUGUACCUUCUGUUUGAGGUUCUUCCUGCUGGAGUUCUUCCAUCUGUGGUGCUUCCUGCAUUGGAUGGGGAGAUGGUGCUUGCUGUGUCUGGACUCCUGGAGAAGAAGGAGAGGACUCCACCGGAAUUGGAGACACUGGAGGAGGAGGGGGACUUGCCACUCUCUGGCGCUUUGUUCCAGCCUUAGCACCUUUGGUGCCCUUUCUCUUUGGCUGGCUAGACUGGGGGGCAUCGGUACUUUGGCGCUUGGCUUUUGCCGAUGCACCAGUUUGCUGCAACAACGAAAAGGGGUUUAUAAGCGCAGAUGUAGCCGAUAUAAAGAUGGUCAGUGUAAAAGAAAAAGAUUUAACAAAUUGCCUUGAAAGCCUGCGCCAGAGUGGAAGCAGCUACCGUAGGUGAUGUUUGAGCUCUCUUGGUGGUGACUUUCCUGAGGCGCACACCCCGAUGCACGACGGAAGCCAGAGUGGGAGCGUUGUGGCCAAUUGAGGAGAUCGGGCCUGAUGGAAACAAGUCGAUCGGCUUGCCACUCCUACUAACCGAUGGGGGGAUGUUGUCGACCUGCAAAAAGAGUACAAGGGUGAGCUACCGGUGGAAAUAGUAUUGAAAAAUGAAACAUCGGUUUAAAAUACUUACAGUGUCAUCGGGGACUUUGUAUUCGGGGUCGAUCAUGCCGCGGUAUGAGAGGGCCGAUCUGCAGAAUAGAUGCUCUUUCCAUUCUGCCCACCAUAGCUUGUAUGCCUGAGUAAUAAAAGCAGCUGGAACCCAUUCUGACAGAUCUACGUCUGUGUCGGCAUUUGGUGGUAGUUGGGCUACUCGAAUCCAUUCAAGAAAGUUGGUGAUGGGUUCUCUGGGUUUUAUCACAUCGGCAUAAGGAAGUGCAAUCGGCAACUGGCCGAAAGCUAGCUGACGGGCUAAGGCCGAUGGAUUGUAAAAUUCAUAGGUUUGGGGAGAGGUUUUUGUGCUACCAAAGAAAUUCACUGGUAUGGCUCUGGGAGUCACAAUUGCCAUCAUCACCUCAUUAUCCCUGUCGAGAGCUUCAUCAAAUGGAUUGAAGGUUAGAGGGAGCAUGCUGUCUGGGUCAUCAUAAGCCAACCAUGGUCGUUCAUCUCUGGCCAAUCCCUCAUACAGAGUCUGGAAGAAUCGGCCGAUUUGAUCUGGAUUACUCCCUGAACCAGGUAGAACUAUGGCAGCUUCGCCAAAGUUCAGGGGGGCACGUGUUGCCGAUUCCUCUUCGCCCAACACAUGAUUUUCGGUUAUAUCUCUUGGGAAAUGCUGUGUGAACAAGUUGAAGUCAAGGCGCUUAUGCAAGUGCAGGUUGAGCCACAUGUUAAUAAACCACCAGGGACCUCCCAAGUUGCUGAUAGACUGACCAAGCAGGAGUUUCUGGGCUACCUGGUGGAGAAGAUGGUAGGCAGUGCCAAGCAAGUAUCGGCCGAGAGGAAAUUGGCCACCGUUAGCCAGUCUCUCUGCUGCCGAUAGAUAGACAGAAGUCGGUCCUGCCGAUCGACCACAGAAUACAAACUUGUCUAGCCACAUGUUCAGAAAGGUGGUUUGUUCCUUUAUGGUGACAGGCCCCUUCCCACGAUACUUCUGAAUGUACCCCGACCAACCGCCGAUAGCGCGAGUCUCCACUUUAGCACUAGGAGCGGUAUCAAAGAAGUGGGUGCUAUCGGCAGAAGAGACGUCUAGACCAGUGAGCAUAGCUACAUCAGCAAGAGUGGGAGAAACAGGGCCGUGGCCAAAGACAAAAGCAUUAAGAGUAUCUGACCAAAAAUAAGACGCAGCUAUCAACAGCGACUCGUUCUUGUGCAUAUCGGCAAUAGAUAGCCUGAUGCAUUGGGCUAGCUUCCUUUCACCCCACUGGACUUCAUUCGAAUUGCUGACUCUCAAGAACCAGUCUUUCCACCCUACAGUAGGGCUGGGCCAAGAGCGAAAGGUGUCUUUCCACAGAUCUAAAGAAAAAGUUUCGGCUCUAAAGGGAAUCCUGUUGGUUUCUGCAUUGAUAAGGUCAGUUGGAUCUGGAUCCCCUAGCGGGCCGAGACAUUGGAGGUGUGGUUGAUCGGUGGGGAUGACAAUUUUGUUGGAUAACUCCUAGUGUUUUGGGGAAUAAAAAAUACAAAGAAACAGGAAUACGAAAAAAAAUAUACAGAAGAUGAGAUGGAGAUCUGACCUCAGGAACGACGAAGCCAAUGGCCAUCUUGUCGUGAAGAGGACGUUUGAGGGCACCGGAGUUGAUGAAGAGGAGUGCUUGUCGGAGGUCUCGAAGGUUGUGAAUGGCGCCGCCGCUGGAAAAGUAAAAGUAGGGAUCGUGAAAUGAUGUGAUGGAGAAGGAGUACCCGAGAAGGAACUAUUUAUAGGAUAAAACGGGCAAGGGCAAAUCUGACUUAUCUCUUUGCCGCAUCCGAGAGACCCGAGGAUGCUCAGGUAGAUAUGGUAACUGUUCGCACGGUAAUCAAGAAAUUGUGCAGGUGAUUUGACGGGGAGCGAUCAUUACUUGGAGAUAUUUUACUGUACGGGAUCUUCUGGACGGUCCAUCGGCAGCAUACUGUAACGGUCAUAUUGCCGAUGGGCGGAUAAAGUAAAAGGUAGCCAUUUAUACGAACGUCCUGAUUAGUCCAUCGGUAGAUCUUCGUAACGGUAAUAUUGCCGAUGUGCGGAUGAAAAGGAAGUGCCCGUUCAGGAAGUUGAGGAUUUCGAGGAAUUUGCAGGAGAUUAGGAUCGGAGUUGUUUGGAUUGAGGUUGUCGGUUACCAGAUUAGGAGCAUUAAUUGCGGGAAAAGGCAUCAUUACUGCAGAAAAUUUCGGAGCAUUAAUAGUUUCAUACUCCGAAAUUGGGGGGCAUGUGUUGACACCGUUUUUGGGCAUGUGUCCAGGAUGGCAGGAUAAGAUGACAGUAUGUGGUUUACAGGAUGAGUUGCCGAUGAGGAUGGUUGCCGAUAAAGGAGAGGUUGGACGUGACUAAGUUUACAGGUGAUGAUGUGUCUGUGCCGAUGACUAUGAUGAGGAGGUCUGCCGAUGACCAUGGCAAAAGAGUCUGCCGAUGAUACAGAGGGGGAGUCUGGAAGCUGCUGAUCGGGUUGUGGAAGAGUUUUAAUUUGUCACGAGGGAUAACUGAGUUAUUUCCUUAUUUGUUUAAAUCGUUUUGUAUGCGGAUUCCGUGUAAUUUGGAAUUUGAAUUCUGGUCGUGUUUAGUUAUAGCUAUUUGAGCAGGGUAUAAAUAUGGACCCUAGGGCUUUGUAAUGAGACACCUAUCAAUCAAUCAAACACACGUUUUUACUCAUAUUCCAGCAUCUACUUUUCGACGAUUUCGUCAUACUUUUUCCCUUUUAUUACGAGUUAUUAGGAAUUCGUCGACUUAAGCUCGGUGUGUUCUCAAGUUCCGUGUGAGUACCUCUUAGCCGUGACAUCCGGACGCAUCGCUGUUGUCAGGACUAAAGUAUUCGAGUUAUCACCUUUGCCGAUAGUAAGGUCAAAUCGGCUGGCACGCCUUAACGUUUGAAUUGGGUAUUAGCCCUUUGUGUUUGCAGAUUAAUUUUGCACCAACAAGAUCCAUGGCCGCGCCAGCGAGCUUCGCGUGGCCGUGCGACACUACAUGAAAUUUGUACUCGAGUGGAGCACGGUGCUGCUUCAGCUGGACAGCAAACGAGGGAAGAGGAGGACACCGCUAUAGCAGUUGAGGAGGAGAUCUCGGACACUACAGCGGACAAGAGAUGCCGCGACAGCGCUUGAGGAGCAAAUGAUUUCUGUGAUUUAUUCUAGAUUAUUACCUUGUUUAUUUUUUUGUCUCUUCUAAUGAUCAUUGCUUUCAACAAACAUGCAGGACGAUGAGCUAGCCCCUCUCGGGAGCUAAUUAUUUUGGCUAGGGAGCAGGUGAAUGUGGCUCACGAUGGCUGAGGUGAAUGUGGCUUCAACGUUGGCGGUGGGAUUUGGAGAGGUUUCUCACAUCCACGAUGCCUAUGGUGCAUGUGCAGUACUUGUCCAAGGUAAUUCACGGGCUUGCUCUUUCCUGAUCCGGUAGACUGCUUCUGUGGUCUUACUUCUUGGAGGUAUAUGUUGCAAUUGAUGGGAAGGAGAUCUAAUAGAUAUAAUUGUUCUAUGUAUAGCAUUUUACUGCAUCUGCAGAUACAAGCCGACGACAUUACAGAUCGAAUCCUGACAUGAAUUUAGACCGAAGCAGAUCCUUCAGCUCUGGUUCACAGUUAGUAUAUUUGUUGAGUUAACCUCUGUAUUGCCAUGCCUAAUAAUUUGGUAAGACAAGCUAAAAUUGUUGGGUCUAUCAUAACAAUAAUUAAAUUAUUUGUUCAACAGAUGAUUCACAUUUUGCCAAAAUUGAUGUAAACUGAGUUCAUUAUUAGGACUUGAGUUCACUAUUAGGACUUGGCAAAACAAAAUUAUAUAUUUCCUUUAAUUUUGUGUUGUAUAUAUAUAUAUAUAACUAUUUUUCUUUCUAAUGGGUGGCCUGUGUUUAUUUUUUGCAAACACCAGUAGCGGAUAUGCUAUUUUAAAUCAGGUGUAGAUGUAUAGUAAAUCGUAAAUGUAAAUUGCAUUGAACUACAAUUAUUUUCACUAUAGUGAAGCAUAUAUUGAUGUGACCCUAAAUGUCUGCGUGUUUCCAGCGGGUCUAUUGCAAUGACCUUUGAGCACCAUCUACCAUUAUGUAAUAACCCUUCCUACCAUGUGAGGCUCUUUUCCUUGUAAUUUCACUUCUCAGUUUACAGUUGGCAAGAGAUCAAGCAUUCGGCUUGACCGACCCCCUAGGUAAACAUCUAUUUAGGCAAUUAUGCUUCCUUUUUUUCUCAAAAUAUUUGAGACAUUGAUGUGAUUAUAGGACCAAUGAUUCAGACCAUAAAAGACGGAUACUCUGUAGAUAUAACUUGCUGGUGACCUGGUGCAGCUGCAAAUAAACAUGUACAAUUUCUUCAGUUUCAACUUUCAAUCAAUUGUACAACUGAAUCGCCUUUCAGAAGCAUAGUGAAACGCCAAAUUAAAAAAUAAAAAAAAAAAUAUUAGAAAAAAUAGAACACACUCUGCUUCAAGUAUGGUGAUCCAGUAACGUACAUUAGAAAGAUGGUGAAGAUUUGGGAGCAAAGUAAUGCUAAAAGAGUACUAAGCCGUGGGCUGAUGAAAUUAAUCUAGAACUUUUUAAUAGGCCAUGUGAUGAAAAAGAAGUUUUUUCUUCCUUGUGGUGAAGGUACUGGCCUUGUACAUCCUUUAGUGUUUUUAAUUGAAAUUUAUGUAACUUUGUCUUUCCAGCUUAGGGCCUGUUUGGCACAGCUCAACUUCAAUAGUAAAGCUAUUUUUAUGAGUGACUUUCUAGAUGAAGCUGAGCUGUUUUGGAGAAAGUGUUUGGCAAAAUAGCUUCACCAACUACUUCAUGCAUAGUUGAG